AAAUAAUGAAAACUACUUUGAAAAUAAAUCUGGAAACACUAAGAAAAUAUGACUAUCACCAUGAAGACUAUAAUCGCGUUCGUCUUUACUAUCUUCUUCAUCAUAUCUUGUGCUAACUGUAUUACUAAAAUUCCUAGUACUUCAGGUUAUAAAAUGAAGCAGGAUACAGACUUUUGUCGAUACCCAGAACCGUGUAAUCAUAAAGGAGAAGAAGGCUGCAUGGAGAUCUGUCAAAUUUGGGGUUAUUCUCAGGGUCACUGUAGGCCUAAAAGCAUAUGUUGUUGUGUAUAAUAAUAAAUAUAAACUUAAGUUUAAAUCAUACGAACGUAUUGGUAUCUACUAUAGAUAUUUUAUAUGUUCUAAAUAUACAUAUACAAAAUUUCUAUAAA